GAGAGCCGUUUGAGGUAAAAGCCUCUCAUACGGUUCGGAGGGCAGCUGUGUUGAAAGACCCGACUGACCCGUAC
rfam:Marchantia polymorpha subsp. polymorpha scaffold2543, whole genome shotgun sequence.